AACGAACGUUAGCGGCGCGCCUAACACAUGCAAGUCGAGCGAGAAAGGGCUUUCGGCCCGGUAAAGCGGCGCACGGGUGAGUAACACGUAGGUAAUCUGCCCCUGAGCGGGGAUAACCUUCCGAAAGGAGGGCUAAUACCGCAUGGGACCACGACGACGCGAGUCGUUGAGGUGAAAGCCGGCCUCUGCAUGCAAGCUGGCGCUUGGGGAUGAGCCUGCGGCCCAUCAGCAGUUGGUAGGGUAAUGGCCGUACCAAGGCGUAGACGGGUAGCUGGUCUGAGAGGAUGAUCAGCCACACUGGAACUGAGACACGGUCCAGACUCCUACGGGAGGCAGCAGUGGGGAAUCUUGCGCAAUGGGCGAAAGCCUGACGCAGCGACGCCGCGUGAGUGAUGAAGGCCUUCGG
rnacentral:rRNA from 1 species